UCCGUAGGUGAACCUGCGGAAGGAUCAUUCCCAGUUGGGACGUCACAACUUGUUGUGAUGUUCCGUAACUAAUACAUUUCCUGUGUUAUUGUCUGGUAUACUAUCGCAAGAUUUUAUACCACUUUUCACACAAACCCAACCUAACCGAGACAGAUCAUCUUGGCUACUUUAUUGUGGCUAAAACAACAGAUAAAACUGUUGGCAACGGAUCACUCGGCUCUCGUGUCGAUGAAGAGCGUAGCGAAUUGCGAAAACUAAUGCGAUCUGCAACCAUCGUGAAUCAUCGAGUCCUUGAACGCAACUUGCGCCGUCUGCAUUCGUGGACGGCAUGCCUGGGUGAGUAGAACGAUAAGUGUCCUGUAGUCACAUUGCUGAUUACGGGGAAAUGGCUUGCUCGUCCGACCUACCGGUUGGACGACCGGCUGAAAUGCAUAAAGCAGAAUGUUUGUUGCAGAUCAUGUGCGGUACAUUUUUUGAGCGGAUCCUGGUCGAUCCACGCGUUAAUGUGCAGCGUGGCAUGGUUAGCUUUAGCAAGGUAGGUCUGGUAUUUCGGUUAAACACGGCCCU
rnacentral:rRNA from 1 species